CAAACAACAAAAAAAUUGGGGUUGUAUUUUUAAAGCCAGAAAUAAUAAAAUACGAACGUUAGCUUCCUUGUCUGUGAUUGGACUCUUCUUAAGGUAAAAUGUAGAUACUGGGAAACGCCAGUGAACUAGUGAUUCCUGUUAGUCAGGUUUGGUUGAUAGCAGAUUUACUUUGUUUUUCUCCGGCAAGAAUCAGACUUCCAAACAAUUUGUUUUCUUGGGUUCUAGCUGGAAGUGCCUGGAGCCUGCAGACAGCGUCUCUCCACCCUAGCUGCUGGUGCAACCUGUCUAGCAGGGCGUGACAUGGCUGUUGUCGUCACUGCCUUGCGCUCUGCCUUACCAGUCCCAAACAAUUGCCACAGCUGAGAAUCAAGAUGACAGUGCUCCCUAAGUACAGUGUUUUACAAUGAAAAGCCUUUGAUGGCCACGGACACUCCUAAUGGUUUCCCAGAGGGAGACACUGAGGGGGACAACACUGCCAGAUGCGAUUCCUUUGGUCCUGAUGGCAUGGGAGGAAACCAUAUGCAUAACCUCUACUCUGCAACACUCUUUUAUCAUGCAUUCCUGGGCUGGAAGUCUUCUCUUCACGGGGCAUCGAGAAGACUAAUUUCUACUAUCUCCAUUCACUACACACCACCCGGCAACUGGAGCUGUCCACAAUACUGAAUAUGGAGAGGACAGGUCAGGAAGGUACAUGUGUGGAGGGAAGUGUGUUUAAAUGGUGGCUAAUAUAGGAGAUAUCUACUAUUUGUUAUCUGUUCAUCACUUUCUCUUCCUUUCUUCUGGCAGCGUACCCUAUUUCUUUGACACCAGAAGUGUGUAUGUGACCCAGGAUGGGUAAAUUAUUUCACUGUUGUGACCACCGUCACUGUUCGGAGAGGUACACUCACGACGAGCCAAGCUGAGCUAACUUGCGUUUUCCUGCCAUUUUGAAACUGGAGCUGGGAGGAAAGCUCUUCCUCUCUGGCUGGAGAGCUGCUAAAGAUGUGAAUCAGAGCUGCUCCCAGGAAUCCACCCCAGGGGGAAAGUGGAUUGGCUGGGUGAAGUCCACACAGAAAGAGAAACUGAGGCCAGAGCACAGUGGGUGAGCCCUGAUGGGAUCUGAUCCCCAGCAUGGUGGUCUGCGUGGCUGCCUCCUCUUCUGCUUGCCCUUCUCUUGCUUUGGUCCCAUGAACCAAUGCAUCCCUCUUUCGCUUGGAUUUCUGUCACUUGGAUUUCUGCAACCAGAAGAGUCCUGACUAAUUCAGGUAGAGCUUGAGUUGCACUAAAUCUUGUGAAGAAUAUAAGGAGAACGAAAAGGGUUGGAAAGCUGUGUUGUGAGCAGGAAGAAUGAGAAAAGGAAUCGGUCCCAGAGAAAAUGGCGCGGUGCCAUCUGAUGAUUAAGAAAUAUCAAAACACCUUAAAUUAUCUUUGGUCAUUAGUUUCUGAAGAAGAAUCUUCUUCAGAUUUGAGAGGAGCAAAUAAACUUGGCUAAAGGAACUCGAAAUCCAAGAUGAACGAGAAAACAGUAAGAAAAGACCAGCAGCAUUUGAACAAGCUUAUUUGAGCCCUGCUGAGUCAUCCCAGUGGAGUGGACACCUUUCCAUGUAAUUUGGAGACAAGUUGUACUUUUGUAGGAAUCGUGACAAGGAGG
ensembl:lncRNA